CUACGUAGGUGACAAGCGUUAUCCGGAUUUACUGGGCGUAAAGGGCGUGUAGGCGGUCUUGCAAGUCAGAAGUGAAAUUCCUGAGCUCAACUCGGGCGCUGCUUCUGAAACUGCAGGACUUGAGUGCUGGAGGGGAUAGCGGAAUUCCUAGUGGAGCGGUAAAAUGCGCAGAUAUUAGGAAGAACACCGGUGGCGAAGGCGGCUAUCUGGACAGUAACUGACGCUGAGGCGCGAAAGCGUGGGGAGCAAACAGGAUUAGAUACCCUGGUAGUCCACGCCGUAAGCGAUGAAUACUAGGUGUAGGGGGUAUCGACUCCCUCUGUGCCGCAGUUAACACAAUAAGUAUUCCGCCUGGGGAGUACGGCCGCAAGGUUGAAACUCAAAUGAAUUGACGGGG
rnacentral:rRNA from 1 species